rnacentral:rRNA from 1 species
UACGAAGGGGGCUAGCGUUGCUCGGAAUCACUGGGCGUAAAGGGUGCGUAGGCGGGUCUUUAAGUCAGGGGUGAAAUCCUGGAGCUCAACUCCAGAACUGCCUUUGAUACUGAAGAUCUUGAGUUCGGGAGAGGUGAGUGGAACUGCGAGUGUAGAGGUAAAAUUCGUAGAUAUUCGCAAGAACACCAGUGGCGAAGGCGGCUCACUGGCCCGAUACUGACGCUGAGGAGCGAAAGCGUGGGGAGCGAACAGG